CAGCAGCCACGGUAAAACGGGGGGCGCGAGCGUUACCCGGAUUUACUGGGCGUAAAGGGCGUGUAGGCGGCCUGGGGCGUCCCAUGUGAAAGGCCACGGCUCAACCGUGGAGGAGCGUGGGAUACGCUCAGGCUAGAGGGUGGGAGAGGGUGGUGGAAUUCCCGGAGUAGCGGUGAAAUGCGCAGAUACCGGGAGGAACGCCGAUGGCGAAGGCAGCCACCUGGUCCACUUCUGACGCUGAGGCGCGAAAGCGUGGGGAGCAAACCGGAUUAGAUACCCCAGUAGUCCCUGUCUCUUAUAC
rnacentral:rRNA from 1 species